rnacentral:lncRNA from 1 species
CCAACUAUGGAGAUGGACGCAACCUAUGAUGCAUUUCAUACAAGCUCUUCUCUGCUCACACAACACUCUCUGAUGAGCCACAGGGCAGACUGAAUGUCACAUUUGUGGCAUCAGUUACUCCAAAGGACAUGAUGGAAGGUAACCAGUUGCCCCCAUAGGUGGUCCCUUGCAGUCUGGGAAAUCAAGUGUCGAGGAUGUCAUUUCCACCAGAAGAGUCAAGCCCUGAGCAGCUGCCUGCCUUCCUUUGCUACACCAGGAGCUCCUAGGGAGUCACAGGAAGCUCCAGUUACCACCGUCUCCAUCAGACGGGAUCCUUCCUCAGGAAUGCGAGCUGUGACAUUGCAUCUCCAUUGGCAGUCUCUUCUGUACUCCCAGCACUUAGCAUCUAGGCCCUGGAGGAAUCCAGAAGCACUGGCUUCUUCCGUCCUACCAAGGCAGGAAUGUUAAGUCACCUCUUCAUGCCUGUACCUCUGUCCCCCA